rnacentral:rRNA from 1 species
CCUACGGGUGGCUGCAGUGGGGAAUAUUGCACAAUGGGCGCAAGCCUGAUGCAGCCAUGCCGCGUGUGUGAAGAAGGCCUUCGGGUUGUAAAGCACUUUCAGCGGGGAGGAAGGCGUUAAGGUUAAUAACCUUGGCGAUUGACGUUACCCGCAGAAGAAGCACCGGCUAACUCCGUGCCAGCAGCCGCGGUAAUACGGAGGGUGCAAGCGUUAAUCGGAAUUACUGGGCGUAAAGCGCACGCAGGCGGUCUGUCAAGUCGGAUGUGAAAUCCCCGGGCUCAACCUGGGAACUGCAUUCGAACCUGGCAGGCUAGAGUCUUGUAGAGGGGGUAGAAUUCCAGGUGUAGCGGUGAAAUGCGUAGAGAUCUGGAGGAAUACCGGUGGCGAAGGCGGCCCCCUGGACAAAGACUGACGCUCAGGUGCGAAAGCGUGGGGAGCAAACAGGAUUAGAUACCCCAGUAGUC